UUCUCCAUUUCUUUCAGAUCAGAUAAAAGAAAGCCGUGGAGAAAGUCGUUGACGAUGAGAUGAGAAAGGAAGGAUCUGCAGGAUAAGCUUUCAGAUUCAUUUAAGAAACAAAGUCUAAUAGAAGAUGAUGGAAAAAUUGAAGUUUCAGGCUCAUAGUUUCGUAGUAGGGGGUUGUAGUAUGAUCCAUUUGUAAUGGACCCAAUUAGGCAAAACAGAAGGACUAUGGUUGAAAAAAUGGUGAACGAUGACAAAAUUAUGGAUCCAAUUACUAAGAAGAUUAUUGCCCUGUCCCUAACAGGUAAAUAGAGUUUACAGAUGAGUUUUUUUUCCAGGGAAGAGGAUGGUGGCUUCUUCCCCUUUUGUGUGCACGGAUAUAGGACUAACAUAACCUGCUCUCUUUUGGUUUCCCGCUAGAAUUAAAAAACUGGACACUUAUAUACUUACCAAGGAUGGCCGUUUAGUAGAGGGACUGCUAUCUUCAACUUAUUAGAGGUUUUACUAACAUCGGUACUCAUUAAACAUUAUUCGGCCACCUUGUGUUUAUCACUGAGUAAUACACAGAACCAAUUCUCCGAUAGGCUUAGUUUUAUUCAGUUUUACAUUUUUUGUUGUGAUUUCUGAUUUCAGCUAAGAAGCUUUAUCAUUUUCCUUGCUGCAA